rnacentral:lncRNA from 1 species
GGAAAGACCACGCUCGUCAAAGAAGUUUCCAGGCAAGCUACACAAGACAAAACAUUAUUUGAGGAUGUGGCUAUGAUAUUGGACGUAAAACAAAACCCAAGCAUCCAAAGAAUUCAACAAGAAAUUGCUGAGAAGUUAGGUCUUGACCUUCCUGAAAAUAAGACUGUUGCUGGAAGAGCACGUCUUCUAUCAAGCAGGAUAAAAGACCAAAAGACUCUGGUAAUUCUCGAUGAUGUGUGGGAUGGAUUUGAUUUGGAGGCUGUGGGACUUUCUGGUGUGACGACUUGUAAAGUAUUGUUGACAUCAAGAACUCGUGAAGUAUUAUCCGGUAAGAUGCAUACACAAAAAGAGUUUGCACUUGAUCUUUUAGGGGAAGAAGAAUCUUGGAGUCUGUUCAAGAAGAAGGCAGGUGAUGUUGUUAAAGAUCCUUCCAUAAAAGCUGUAGCAACCAAAAUAGCCAAAAAAUGUGGAGGUUUGCCGGUUUUAGUUGUCACUGUGGCAAGUGCCUUGAAAAAUAGAAGUACAUUAUAUCAUUGGAAAUAUGCGUUGACACGUUUGAAAAAGUUUGAUAAAGAAGAGUUCACAGAAAAGACUUACUUGGCUCUAGAGUGGAGUUAUAGUGAGUUAAAUAAUGAGGAGCUUAAGCUAGUGUUCUUGCUUUGUGGACUUUAUGCUGAUUCUUCGAAAACUAUUCAUAUACAGUACUUGUUGAAAUAUGGCAUUGGCUUGGGUUUGUUUAAGAACCUCAAUACACUGGGAGAAGCUUGGGAUGCAGUAAAUUCAUUGCUUGAUCAACUAAAGGAUUCUUGUCUGUUGCUUGACCAUGAAGAUAGUCAGUGUGUCAAGAUGCAUGACCUCAUCCAUGAUGUUGCUAAACGUAUCUCAUCGAGGGACCAACAUGUGUUGAUAGUAAGUGGUGGAGAUGAGUUUAAAAAAUGGCCAGAUAUGAAGGAGUUUUGUGAAAAGUGUACAAUGAUCUCCAUCGAAAUGGCCAGUAUCCCCAAGCUUCCUGAAGUUUUGCGGUGCAGAGAACUAAAGUUGUUGGUUCUUAAUGCUACUGUUAUGGAUUACUACUCUUUAGAAAUCCCGUGCAACUUUUUUAAAGAAAUGACAAAACUCAAAGUGUUGGAUUUAACUUCUUUGAGUAUCCCGGCAUUACCUCCAUCUCUUCAGUUUCUAAAAAGUCUGAAGACAUUGUGUUUAGAUGCAUGCACCUUGGGAGAUAUAGCUCUAAUUGGUCAUCUAGAAAACUUAGAAAUCCUUAGCUUUCUAAGAUCCGAGUUUAAAGAGUUGCCCAAAGAAAUAGGUCAAUUGACUCAUCUACGACUGUUGGAUUUGACUGGUUGCUCUCAGUUGGAAUUAAUUGCACCUGGUAUUAUCUCAAAUUUGAAAAGGCUAGAAGAACUGAGGAUGGGAAAUAGCUUUAACCGAUGGGAGACUGAAGGAGUCACUGGUACUGAGAAAAGUAAUGCAAGCCUUUUAGAGCUCAAGCACUUGUCUAAGCUAAGCACUUUGCAUAUACAUAUCGUGGAUGCUAACAUUCUUCCAACAGAUUUGUUCUCCAAUGCAUUGGAACGAUACCAAAUAUAUAUUGGUGCUGCAUGGAACUGGGAUGAUGCGGAUGCAAACCUCAACACACUGAAAAUCAAGCUCACUACCACCAAUGAACUGUACCAAUCUGGUUUAAACAUGUUGCUGAAGAAAACUGACGAGUUACACUUGAAUGGAAUGGAUGCUGGUAAUAAUACAGCUUAUAAUCAAUUAGACGGUGAAGAAUUUCAGCAAUUGAAACAUCUCCAUGUCCGCAAUGCUGAGUUUAGAUGUAUCAUUAAUGGGAAGGUACGCUCUUUAGUGAAGUGUUCAUACAUCCUUUGUUUUUUUUUGGUUCCAAUUGAUUAUAUAUUCCAUUAGUAUAGAUAUCAUUUUAUGAAGAUUUACUUGGUCAUAUUUUUUCUUUUUGGGAACUCAUUAAGUAAUUAUUGUAUUUUUAACGCAGUACGAAAAACUUUCAUUGAUCAAACUAAUGUAGGCGACAACAUGAACACAAUUCACCCUCACGUGCUACGUAAAAAUCGAAUUAUGCAAAACAACCUAAGAGAAUAGCAAAUCCUAAAUGAAGCAUCUUGAUCAAUAAAUAGAGAACAUGUUAGCUAGGUUAACAUAUUAGAACACACACGGAACAUCCUACACAGAUGAGGUCUCCCCAGGUAGAGAACCUGAAGCAACUACUACUGACUCCUCCACCACGUACUGUGUCGUUAGUACCUGAACCAGAGCCAGAUUCAAAACCACUAAUUGUGACAAUUAAAGACAUGUAUUGAGAAAUCUUCACAGAUACAAAUUUCUGCUACUUAAUAUGGUACCUACUCUUGAGCACAUCCAUCCUAACAUUAAUUAAUUUAUAGACUAGUACAGUAUCGACCCACAAUUAUAGGCAGUAAAGUUAUUGGUUUAAACUUGGAAGUAUAAUUAAUUCCCCUUGUAAUCAGAAUUGACUUGUUCUAUAGGGCGUUUUUCCCUAUUUGAAAAGGUUGGUGGUGAGUGACCUAGAUGGUUCGAGAUUCUUAUUAUCAUCUUCCAUGGCUAGAAGUCUUGUACAACUCACACAUCUUGAGAUAUCUGGAUGUCGGAUGAUGGAAGAGAUAGUAUCAAUAAAUGAAACUGAUGAUAAGUUUAUGAAGGACAUGUUCUCUAAGCUACAACAUCUGGAGCUAAAAGAUCUUCCAGUUCUGACAAGAUUCUGCUCAAGAAAUUCUACUGGAUUUCCAUCUUUGGAGAUUUUGCAACUAGCUAACGACAAUGAAAUUGAAGAAAAGGAAUCAGGAGAAGACAUUGGGAAUUUUUUGUUUGAUGAAAAGGUGAUCGAAUCGUGUUCUCUGUCUAUGUUUCUUUUAUCAUUAAUCUAAUCUGUUCAUUCGAAAACAUGUAUCUUGUCGAAAAAGAAUUUUUUUCUGAACAAGUCCAUUGACAUGAUGAAUAUUACUCAUACAGGUAGUAUUUCCAAGCUUGAUGAGAUUGUUCAUCCAUGGGUUGAAAACGAUAGUGACAAUAUGGCACAAUCAACUUUCUCCAGAGAGUUUCAAAAAUCUAGAGACUGUAAAUAUUAAUUCGUGCCAGAGUUUGAAAAGUGUUUUUCCAUCCUCAAUGGUCAGAAGUCUUCAGCAAUUAAUGCAUCUGGAAGUGGUCGAAUGCGGAGUGGAGGAAAUUGUUGCAAAUGAGGAUGGAGGACAAACAACACAUGAGUUUGUGUUCUCAAAAGUAAACUCUGUCCAUUUUUGGGAUUUGCCCCAUCUUAGCUGUUUCUAUUCUGGAGCGCAUGCUUCCCGGUGGCCGUCACUUGAAACCUUGAAGGUACUUUAUUGCUGGAAAUUAACAUUUUUGGCCCAAGAAUGUUCAAGCUUCGAGAGAAACUGUGAGUCGAUGAAUCCUGCUCCAGCUAACCAAGCUCUCUUUCUAAUUAGGAAGGUAAAAUCUUCUUAUAUAUUUUCUUACAGUCUACUUAUAUAGCACUCCAUGGCCAAUUUGUUUUAUUUCUUUUAUUAUUAAUUUUUUAUCGUUUAAGGCUGUUCACGUUUGAGUCACUUUUGUAAUCUUUUAAAAAUCUCGUCUAAUGAAAUGGUCUUGCUUCAAUCACUUAGCAUUUAGCAGAAAUAUUGGAGUUAAUUUUAUAGGAGUUUCUGGAUAUGUGGCGUUUCCAUUGAUAGUGGCAUUGUUAGAUAUACAAAUAAUUGAUUCCAUAUAAUUCAGAAGUAAAGUUUUUUUAAAUGUUAAAGCAACCCAGAACUAAUUAACCCUACCUGACAGUAUCCUUAGACAUUCGUAGUUUCAAAGAUCUAAACAAAACAUGACUUUUGUCUUAUUUUAUUUACAUCUCAGUCAAAAGGACAAUAGAUUUGGUGCUUACAGUAACUUGGUAGUUACAAGAGAGUUUCAAAAAUUCGAAUUCUUCAGUGAGGCUCCUCCCCAUCUGAAGGCCAUAUGACAAACAACUUAUUAAAAGAUUUUAUUAAGAAAAGUUAACUUUUCGAGCCAACGAAGUAGUAGGGUUUUUUAUUUUUUAUUUUUUUAUCAGAUGAAUAACUUAAAGCAACAACUAGACUCUUCUUUUGGGUAGAUUACUAGAUUGUUGAUACGAAAGUAGACACCGAUAGUUAUUGAAAAAUGAAGCAGCUAAAGAUUAUCUUCCAAGUAUUUCUUGAAGCGAAAGAAGGUACUUUUACUGUAUGAUGAUAUGCCUCUCCAGUCCCAGGGUAUAUCAUCUUCUUUCUCUUGCGUAGUUUCUCUGUAUGUCCUUCAUUGAGAGCAUGUACAUUGUCUUUCAGUUUAGGGGCCAGUUUUGAGUUUUGACAAAAAGCAUGAAUUUGAAAAGUCAUAAGACUCUGAUACCGGGUAACUGAAAACAGCUUGUUGACCCACUUUAUUUCAUUUUUAACUUUGAUGACACACUACAUGUGAGAGAUUGUUGAAUUCUUUUGAUGACGUUUUAGAGAAUAUGAAUUAUGGGUCUGGUUCAAGAGACAGAACAGUUGACACUAUUUUUGAUACUCGUUUUUGUCUCUUAGAUCUUAGUUGAUCUAAUAGUUAUUUUUACUUAUGAGUAUGAUCUAGCAAGUGACAUGAAAUUUGAUAUGACCCAAAUGAAAGUUUUCAUAAUUUGAAUAGACCUUUGUGCAAUGAACCUAGGAUGUUUUUUCAUGUUGAAGAUCGAACAUGAACAUGAGUGCCAUGUUCUUCUGGGAGUUUUUUCUUUUGUUUGUUGAAAAUAAUAUUAAUUUCAUGUCACUUGCCAAAUCAUACUCACAAGUAAAAACACUCAUGAGAUCAACUAAGAUCUAAAGGAUAAAAAUGAGUGUCAAAAAUAGUGUUAAAUAUUGUGUCCCUUGAACCAGACCCAUGAUUCAAUGAGUUUAUGCUUUUUUGUUUUUGUUCCUUUUUUUUUCCUUUUUCAAUUUGAGAUUUAUGUUCAUAAGAUACUGUUUGUGUUGUUUAACAUCCACUAACCAUGACACAUUAAAACUACAGGAUUCAUUCCCCAAGUUGAAGUUAGUGGCCACAUUCGGGAUGGAGAUUUGGGAUGGUCCAUUCCCAGUAAAGGUCUUCCGCAGUCUAGCAAUAUUUCGAGUCGGUAAUCGACACUCUGAGGCAGCUGCUAUACUUGAGAAAUUCCCUGGUCUUGAAAAACUCAGUGAAACGAGUUCGGCUCCCUCCAAUGAAAUAUGCAGCAGUGGGGAUAUAAAUGCAGUUGAGGCCCUCCCUCAUUUAAAUGAGUUGUGGCUUCGCAUGUCGAAACUGAUGCAUCUUGGGGAAGAUAACACUCAAUCAGCAGGUCAAAACUUUCCAAACCUGAAAAUUCUAUGGAUAGAGUAUUGUGACAACUUAAGGAAUCUAAGAUCAUCAGCAAUAUCCUUCAAGAAUCUGACAAACUUGCAAGUAACUAGUUGUCCCGGAUUGGAAUACUUGAUAACUUACUCCAUAGCUAAAAGUUUCUCGCAACUCACACACUUGACAGUUGAGGAUUGUGCAAGACUGGUAGAAAUGGUGAGAAGCACAGAAGAUGAUGACGAUUCAGGAAAUGAGAUUGUAUUCAGCCGGUUGAUAUAUCUAAGACUUUCUAAACUACCAAAAUUGCAAGUCUUUUGCUCUGGAGAUUUCAUUGUCAGAUUUCCAUCUUUGGAAACUUUAUUGAUAAGCAGACGCCUUAAAUUGAAGGUUUUUCAUAAUUAUGAAACACUACAGAUAACCGACGAAAUAGUUGACACAGACGUUGAUGUUGAUGAUGGCGUAACGGUAAAUUUUUAAUUCCUAACAAUUAUUGACCAGACAUCUUAGUAGUUUUUUUUUUUCUUUUUCUAAAUGCAUUUCAAUUGUUUCUAUAAAUGACAAGACGUUACAGGUAAGAAAGGAAAAUGUCGACACAGAUGAUGGUGAACAAAUAGAUGAAACUACACCUAUCACAGGCGCAAAGAAAGACGAACAGUUUGAGGUAUUGGUAACAUUUUCAUUCACUAAACUCAUUUUAUUCUCUUGAGUUUCCAUUAAUGAAUCUACGACACUUUCCAUAUCAGUUAUACCCACAGUCCCACACACACACAUACGUACAUUAGUGCAGCCCAUGUCAGAGAUUUCAUUUUUUUGCCUGGUCGGACUGUCAAAGUUAGUUAGUUUUUUUUUUUUUCUAAUGAAUUUCAUAUAUUUUUAUGAAUGACGGAACGACACAGGUAACAAAGGAAAACGUCAAUUGUAAUGGAAAACGAGAAAUUGAAAAGGUUUACAUGGACACCGGUGCUGAUCAUGAAGAAGUUGCAGAAACUACACAUAUCACAAACAAAAACAUAGACGCUAGUUUUGAUGGAUCGGUAACUUCCCAUCCACACAACUUUUUAUUUCAAUAUUCAAUCUCAUAGUUUUCCACGAUAGAUGGACGAUGUAAUAAUACUAUCACAACGGAGACUAUAAUUCCUUUUGUAGUCUAUUACAUAUAUACAAAUACAAAAUACAUUCGUAUUAGGAGCUAGAACCAGAAACUUUUUAGUUCCCCUAUUGUUUACAGUUCUAAUUUCUCUUAUUCAAACGUUCUCCAUGGCUAUUAGUCUAUUUGAUAUAUAUCUUUACCAUAUUUGAAGUAAUAUAUGUAUGUCAGUGCCCCUGUGUCGCGUAAUAAAUACUUUCUUCCCAUUCCAUUAUGUAGUAUAAUAAUAUUCAGCUUGCUUCUACAUUGAUUGAUUGAUCUUUAUGUAUAUAUAUAACGACAUUACCUGACGUCUCAGGAACAUGUUCAUCCCCUUGAGACCACUACGGCUGAUCUGGGGGUUAUAGCACCAAUGGAAGAAAAUCUGGCCAUCAUACCAGUAGGUGAAGUCACAACUCCUGUGUUCCCAGUCAUUGAGCAUUCUCUUGUUGCAGAAGCACCUGGGCGACAAGCAUUCUCAGAUAUUGAGCCUCUUGCCGAAGAAGCAAGGCCUGAUGUUCAUCAGACUCCUAAUGCACCAGAACAGCCUAUUGAGGAACAUAGUGAUAUUCCCUUUGAGUCUUCAGCUGCUGAUACAGGAACUCCGCCAACACAUAUCAUUCCUGCACUGCCCUUUUCAAGUUUGUUGAAGUCAUCUGGAGCAAAACGGUCAUUGAGAGAGAAACUCAAAGGUCUGUCUGCCAAGAAGGCAGCUAGCAGUUCCGGCCUGUCUGAGGAGGCGAAGAGCAAGCUCAAAGCUCUUAUUGCUACUGCUGACUUGAGAGAUCCCCACACCAGACAACAGCUCUUGACAGUGCUGCCCACUCUCCAACUGUCUGCUACCAUAAGGAUUGCUGAUCUCGCUGUUCAAGAGCUAUCGAAGUUACCACUGGUUCUGGACAAGCAGGAAUCAUUAUGCCAAGAAUUGGCUUCGCUUAAAGCUCAGGGCUCCCAGCUUGAUGAAAGGAGUCACAUCCUCCUCUCUGAAGGUUCUUUAGCUGAAGAAACCAUCCAGAAGGUUCAGGAGCAGCAGGCGGAGCUGCUGGCUCUGGAAGAGCAAAUCAAGAAGCUUGAGGCGCAAGCAAUUCCACUCCGGGCUGAGAUUGCCAUUGGCGAAAAGAGGUAUUCUGGCUUUGAAGCGUCCUUGGAUCAGCUAGUUGAGGAACAACAACUCAACCAACUCUCUGUGGAUUCAACAAGUGAAGAGUUGCUUAGGACUCGAGCUGUGAGUGACAGCUUAUGUACUGCCAUCUUUACUCAUCUCCGCCAACUAUUGUAGGCCUCAGUUUUGCAUUUAGGCGCAUGUAUUUAUUAGGAUAGUAUUAUACCUUAUGCAUUGUAGCGGAGCACUAUGACCACGUACUUCACCUCGUAAGUAUGCUUUAUUUGUACUAUGAACAUUUCUUCAUACAGCAUAACCGCAUUGUUCAUAACCAGACUAAUGUAUUACCAAAUAGCAAGAGCUAAUUAAAUUAUAGCUAGGAGACAUCAAAAGAGACAAAACCUAGGAUUUAGUGCUAGCUAGUUGACGGCGGUGGUCUAUAGGCGAUUAGUUCUGUUCUUGAGUAGAACAGGAUCUCUGAUCACCACGAACUUUGGUGAACUAGUUGAAAUCUUUCCUAAUCAGUUUGGUGGUGAGGGCUACACUUUGGUCACCGUUAUAUGCUAAUUGGUUGCUAUGCAUACAUGUAUGUAUAGGUUGAUUCCUCUUAGCUGGUGACGCCACGAUGGCGGUCACAGUGGUGGAUUACGACGCGACAGACAGACUAAGGGUCGUGACCAAUUUGUUUGGUGGACUGGUGGUGCGAUCUUGGUGACUAGCUGUAUACUACUUUAGUGGACUUUCCUGUGAGGAAGAGAGAUUACAUCCCUUUGCCAUGGCCGGAAGAGAAUGAGAGAAUGUGUUCAACCUAUGAUUUGAUGGUAAAUCUGGUGAGGGUUGAAUAGAGUAUUGGUGCAAUGAAAGUUAGACAGUUUAUGGUAUGAAAUGCAGGAAUUUAUUGUUUCCAAAACCCUUCAGUAAGUUGUCGCCCUUCAUUUCUGAGCAGCAACUGCAGUAACAGUUGAUGUACUUGGUUGUUUGCAGCCUAUGCUAUUGGAUUGAACCGAGGCACACAUCACAAGUUGAAGAAAAGGUAUGUAACUAUUCUGAAUUAUGAGGUGGCGGAUUUGUUAUUGCUAUGCAUCGGCAUGUUUUGAUAUUGUUUGAUCUGUUUGUCUUUGGUAAAAUAAUAUUAUUAGAAUCUAAUUUGGUUUUGAUUUUUGUCUCUGUUCAUGCCAAAUCCUUUUAUAUUCUCUGUAGAAAAUUGAAACUAUUAUUAUGGUAUUUGAAAAUUGCAUUUCUCAUUGCUGUCAAAUUUAAUAUCUAAUCAUGAAGACACUCUGAAGCUUGUGAAAAAACGACAGGAUUUUCAUACCUCCAAGCUUUUGAUUUCAUAUUGUGCAAUUUUAGUUAUGAUAUGAUUCCGUCAUCAUUUUACCAAAACUAGCUUCAAGAAUGUUAAACACAAUGUAAUUAAUUUGCACCCUAAGCUAUAUAAGGUGCACUUAUCAUUAAAUCAGUCUACCAGCUAUCACCUACAAGGACAUUAUGUCUUAUGUUUGAUAGUGUAUGUUAUGGUUUUGUAUAUGCAGGUUUUAACUGUUGGUUUGCAGUACCAUAAAGCUGUUACUUGCUUUUCCACAGUGAAGUUAAACUAAAUCCUCUCGUUCAAGGUAACUAUGGUUAACAUUCCUUCUUUAAUUUGUGAUUUUACUGCUUGCUGAUUUUUACACAUGUAUAAGGGGUAUUGUUUACGUUUUAUGUUUCAGAGUGUUGCAGAACAGAUUAAUAGUGCGUCGAGUUUUUGCUUAUAGGGAGGCAGCAGAUGAUUAAGGUUCGUCGUUGUACUUUUUGUUUUUCUUUCUGAUGUUUUUUUUUCUUUUCUUAAUUUACACAUGACUUGAAGUAGAAGAUCGGGAUAAAGCCAUUUUACAAUUAAGCAUAUCCCAAUGUUCAAAGUAUAAAGUAUAAACCAGUAGGAAUAUAUUUGAAUGCUUCAAAUCCAGAUGAACAAAAAAAAAAGAAUUCUUUCAAACACAAAUGGUGGUCCACUGGCUUUCUCUAUACCAUUGUAGUUAUAGCUUAGCUUAAACUGUUAAGACAUUGAAACCUUCAAGCUUAUGAAAGCUUGUUUUUUUUUUUUACGAACUUCUAUAAGCAGCAGGUUAAGGAUCUGAUUUUUGAAAUUUUCAUUUUAUUUUAUUAGAUUUCUUUUUCUACUUAAGUUACAAGCACUACAAAUGGUUUAUUGGUUUUUGCCUAGUUAGGUGUGCUUCCCAACCUAGGUUUGAACCCUGAAGCUGUUAAAGUGGUCAGACACUGUGCUAUGCAUAGUUGGAGCAUUUCACAUACGACCAUAGACUAACUUCUAGGUCUAGAAACUAGGAAGCCUUUAUGGUCCUGAUACUGUAUAAAAAACUUACAAGUUACAUAAUUUUUGCAUAGCUAACUCGCCUGAAGGUCGUACGAUGGUAGGAGCUGCACAACUUAUUUAGCUACUAGUCAGUCAAGCUAUGUAUUUAUAAAACCACGAGCUCUGCAAGGGACAUCAAAGUCAAUUAGCAAGAUUAUUAGUCGCUAGUAAACAGCAAAUUCCAGUUGGUAAGCAUAUGGAAUGAAUUUAAAUUUUGUAUUUAUCUGAUAAUCUGCAAAAGAAGACUUCAACUGUAAGUGUUCAUAUUGGGAUCCCCUGUACAUGACUGGUUUAUAUAAUCAACUCAUCAUGUGAAAAGAAAGAACAAACAUAUUAAGAAGUUGAUGUCAACUACAACAGCCAAAAUGUCUUACCUAUGUGAACAAAAGUGACCCGGUGGAAAUUUUCAAAGCAUGUGAUUUUGAUGCUGAACACUCACUUUUUUAAUCCUGAAGAGCUGACGAGAUGUAUAUUGCAAUAUAUAGUCUCAUUUAAAAGCUUAGUAUCUAAUUCUUUCUGUAUUUCCAAUUUUUCAUGAAUGGAUACAAAUCCACAUGAACUGAAAUAAUAAGUUGUUAAUUAGAUACAAAAUGCAGUGCACUGGCUUUCUUUCUGGUAAUCUAGCUAAAGGUCGGACGAGUUUGCAACUUACAAGAGCUGGUUGUUGAAUUGUCCAGCUAGUAAGUCGAGGUACGCAUCUUAUAACAUGGCAAGAUUGGCAACUAGCAAUUGGUCAUAAUAUAUUGAAGACAGACCUCAGAUAUGUUAUUAAAGAAGUAACCGUUUAUAAUGUAUAAAAAAAGACGUCAACUAUUGGGAUUGGAUCUCCUGUACAUGACUGCUCCAUAUAUUUAUCAUAAGUUAGUACAACUGGAAGUUGGCAAAGCAUAUUAUUCAGGAGUUGAGAACUCAUCUUUUCUUGUUCUUGAUAAAAAAGAGUUUGUAUUGCAAUACUGUCUCAUACUUUGCUCUGUCUUUCAUGAAAGUCUUUGUUCUGUGAUCUAAGCCCCCAGAAAAACUUCUUCCUAAAAGUCUGUUUGUUUUUGUUUCUCCUACUGAUUUCGGUCAAUAGCAGGCAGUUCUUUGUUGCUUUAAUUCUUAUUGUACUUCUCAAUAAGCGUUGGGUUUUUAGAUUUCUGCUUUGUUGUCGCUUGAUUUGAUUGUUUAUUUUGCUUUUACUUUCUCUUUGUUAGUUGGUAUUGUGCUGUCUUUCUUUGGAGUAUCAAAGGCGAGGACAACAACUAGUUUGCAACCAGACUUAAUUCCUCAUUUUAUUACAAGAAGGAUUUUAGUUGCACUUUCAUAUUAAACGUUCGAAUUUGAAGAGAAACUGGAGCUGUUGAUCACAAGUGAUAUAUAAGCCAAACAGACAAGGUAUUUCCUAAUAUUUCAAUCUUCAAGUGCGUCUGCUAUUUUAUUUGUAUUAUAUUUAUUUAUUUACUUAUUUUAUUUCUUAAUAUAGCAAAAAAAAGUGACAUCACAAAAUCACAAGAACGUACAGCUCCCUCUCAACUGAUCUAAAGGAACGCUAGAGGCACAAAAAGAGAUAGAUAAUUCCACCAAACAGCACAAGAAGGGGAUAUAUCAUUCCACCAAACAGUUUCACUAGGAGAAGAACGGAGUAAAUUCGUAAUUUCAUCCGCUACAAAAUUCAUAAGUCAUAUAUAUAUAAUAUAUAUAUACACACACACCAACGAGACAAGGUACAUCAUUUAUCCCAAUCUUCAAUUUCAUUCGCUAUUUUAUUUUUAGGGUCAUGGAGAUCCAAUUUCCUUCUAGUUUAUUCUCUAAAAAAAAAAAAUAAAUAAAUCCUUCCAGUUGACUCCACUUUUAAGGUAUUUACCUUGGAGGCUUGGACUAUUUUAUUAAUCAUAUAAUCAUUUUUAAGAUAUUGAAGCAAGGAUAUCUUCUAUUAUAUAUAUAUUUACAAUGAAAUCAAAAUAACAGGGAAACGGGGCCGGUCCUGAAGGAUCCAAGGCCUACUGCAGGGAAAAAAAAUGUGCUCCCUUGCAUAAAUUUUUUUUUUUUNNNNNNNNNNNNNNNNNNNNNNNNNNNNNNNNNNNNNNNNNNNNNNNNNNNNNNNNNNNNNNNNNNNNNNNNNNUUUAGAUAAGCAAAAUCACAUAAAAGUAGACUUCUUGGAAUAUAAAUAGUUCUUUAAAUUGAACCAACCGAAGGUAAAAGUUGUAAAGUCUACAUUUAACAUAAGACACAUAUACUAUUUUCAUUAGAAAUGUCUACAAUUUAGAUAAGCUAAAUCAUAGAAAUGUAUACUUUUUAGAAAUUAAAAUGGUUCUUGAGAUUGAACCCAUUAAAGGCAAAAGUUGCAAAGUAUACAUUUAACAUAAGACACAUCUAUUAUUUUCAUUAGAAAUGUCUACCAUUUAGAUAAGCUAAAUCACAGAAAAGUAGAAUUUCUGGAAAUUAAAAUGAUUCUUGAGAUUGAAUCAAUAAUUGAAGGUGAAAGUUGCAAAGUUUACAUUUAACAUAAGACACAACUACAAUUUUUAUGAGAAAUGUCUACCAUUAAGAUAAGCAAAAUACAAAAAAGUAGACUUUCUGGAAAUCAAAAUUGUUCUUGAGAUUGAAUUAAUAAUGGAAGGUGAAAGUCGCAAAGUCUACAUUUAACAUAAGACACAACUACUAUUUUCAUGAGAAAUAUCUACCAUUUAGAUAAGCAAAAUCACAAAAAAGUAGACUUUCUGGAAAUCAAAAUGGUUCUUGAGAUUGAAUCAAUAAUGGAAGGUGAAAGUUGCAAAGUCUACAUUUAACAUAAGACACAACUACUAUUUUCAUGAGAAAUGUCUACCAUUUAGAUGAGCAAAAUCAUAAAAAAGUAGACAUUCUGGAAAUCAAAAUUGUUCUUGAGAUUGAAUCAAUGAAAAUUCAUAAAAUGAAAAUUGACCGUUUGAUGGAUCAUUAUAGCGAAACAUGGCUAUGGAUAAAAUUCAACUGGAUUCAAACAAUGUUCGGAGAUCGAUCAAAGCGGUCAACCCUAAUUCAUCUUCACUUAUCACACGAAAACUAUCUUACCUACCGCUUCGUGACCUAGUUUGGUCGAUUCUUCAACACAAUAAAGUCUCACAUAGAUGAGACAUGACCACCCAUGUAAAACUUUGGGGACGUUUACCACCCGAGGAUAGGGCUCUCCUUAGUGAAGAAUAAGCGUAAAUAAGGUUGACCGCUUCGAUCGGGGCCUAAAUAUUGGCUAACUAAAGUGAUUUUCCUACCGUAGCCGUAUUUACUAUACCGAUCACAUCCUAUUUCACGAGAUUUUUGAAAAUUUUUCUUCCUCUAUAUAGUUGGUUCACAAAGUUGUAUACUAGUAUAUAACCUACCAAACAAGUUAUACCACAUUAGUAGGCACGUUAUGAUUUCGAUGAUUAAAAUUCACAAAAUGAAAAUUGACCGUCUGAUGUGAUCAUUAUAGUGAAACAUGGCUAUGGUAUAAAAUUCAACUAGAUUCAACAAUGUUCGGGGAUUGAUCAAAGCAGUCAACCCUAAUUCAUCUUCACUUGUCACAUGAAAACUAUCUUACCUACCUCUUUGUGACCUAGUUUGGUCGAUUCUUCAACACAAUAAAGUCUCACAAAGAUGAGACAUAACCACUCAUGUAAAACUUUGAGGACAUUUACCACCCGAGGAUAUGGCUCACCUUAGUGAAACAUAAGCUUAAAUAAGGUUGACCGCUUCGAUCGGGGCCUAAAUAUUGGCGAAUUAAAGUGAUUUUUCUACAGUAGCCGUAUUUUAUUAUACCGAUCACAUCCUAUUUCACGAGAUUUUUGAAAAUUUUGCUUCCUCUAUAUAGUUAGUUCACAAAGUUGUACACUAGCAUAUAACCUACCAAACAAGUUAUACCACAUUAGUAGGCACGUUAUGAUUCCGAUGACUAAAAUUCAGACGCAGUUAUGAAGUGGGUCUCGCUAGUGGUCCGUGCCAUUUUUCUGUGAAUUUUUCCAACACCGGAGCUAUUUUCUAUGCAUUUUUAAAGUUUUGAAAUGGGGGAAAAAGUAAAACUUUAAUGACAUGGACAUAUUGGUAACUUAGGAGGAAUGAGGUCGCGACAUGUGGCAAUUAAUGUUGAAUUUUCAGAAAAGGAAUCCCCCCGAAAUGGAAAUUUACCAUUUCUUUUAUAGUAGAUUUCCAUAAGUAAAUUUCCAUAAAUAGUAACUUUCAUUUUUAAAGCAUAACUAUCCCCCCCCCCGAAAUGGAAACUUACUCUUCCUUUUAUAGUUGAUUUCCAUAAAUAGUAACUUUCGUUUUUAGAACAUAACUAUCCCUCCGAAAUAGAAACUUACCCUUCCUUUUAUAGUUGAUUUUCAUAAAUAGUAACUUUCAGAAAGUCUACUUUUGCAUGUCAGUUAGCUCAUGUUAUUAGUAGACCUAACUCAUGUUAAUAAUAGACUUUGCAUCUUAGAGUACUUGAUCUAACUUUGAAGAACAAUCUCAAGAACGAAUUUUCAGAAAGUCUACUUUUUUGUAUUUUGCUCAUCUAAAUGCUAGACAUUUCUCAUGAAAAUAAUAGUUGUGUCUUAUGUUAAAUGUAGAUUUUGCAACUUUCACAUUCCAUUAUUAAUUCAAUUUCAAGAACAAUUUUGAUUUCCAGAAAAUCUAUUUUUAUGUGAUUUUGCUCAUCUAAAUGGUAGACAUUUCCAUCAUUUAAUGGUUGAUAUUUCUAAUGAAAAUAAUAGAUGUGUCUUAUGUUAAAUGCAGACUUUGCAUCAUUUACCUUGGGUUGAUUCAAUCUCAAGAACAAUUUUGAUUUCCAGAAAGUCUACUUUUCUUUGAUUUCUCUUAUGUUAAUGGUAGACAUUUCUUAUGAAAAUAGUAGAUAUGUCCUAUGUUAAAUAUGGACUUUGCAACUAUUACCUUGGGUUGAUUGAAUCUCAAGAACAAUUUUGAUUUCCAGAAAGUUUACUUUCUUGUGAUUUUGCUCAUUCAAAUGGUAGACAUUUCUCAUGAAAAUAGUAAGAUAUGUCUUAUGUUAAAUGUAGACUUUGCAACUUUCAUCUUCAAUUAUUGAUUCAAUCUCAAGAACAAUUUUGAUUUCCAGAAAGUCUACUUUUUUGUUGAUUUUGUCUCAUCCAAAUGGUAGAUAUUUCUUAUGAAAAUAGUAGUUGUGUCUUAUGUUAAAUGUAUACUUUGCAACUUUCACUUUCAAUUAUUGAUUCAAUCUCAAGAACAAUUUUGAUUUCUAGAAAGUCUACUUUUUUAUGAUUUUGCUCAUCUAAAUGGUAGACAUUUUUCAUAAAAGUAGUAGUUGUGUCUUAUGAUAAAUGUAGACUUUGCAACUUUUGCCUUUAAUUUGUUCAAUAUUAAGAACCAUUUUGAUUUCCAGAAAGUCUACUUUUUUAUGAUUUUGCUCAUCUAAAUGAUAGACAUUUGUAAUGAAAAUAGUAGAUGUGUUUUAUGUUAAAUGUAGACUUUGCAACUUUUGCCUUUAAUGGGUUCAAUAUUAAGAACCAUUUUGAUUUCCAGAAAGUCUAUUUUUGUGUGAUUUAGCUCAUUUGAAUAGUAGACAUUUCUAAUGAAAACUGUAGAUAUAUAGAGACUUAACGGAGAGUUAACAACGUUAGUUUGUUUUAACCUGCUAUAGCAAGUCAAAACCUGUUGGGUAUGCAUACCCUAAGGCACACAAGUGGAACCCAAAAAAAUAUUCAAAAAAUACCAAUUUUUUCGGGGUUCCAAACCUAGUCAAGCGUAAUGUCAUGAGGCUCAUCCUCAUGCCUGAAUUUUUUUUUAUUAAUAUGCUAAAACAUGGUACAAUGGAGAGAUAUAAAACCUUUACCGUCGAAAAGAAAAGAAAUACAAGGAUAACAACAAACAUAGAUAAAAAGUUGCUUGUGAGAAUGCACUAUUUACUCAAAUGCAGAUAUUCCGAAACGUUCAUUAAAAUGUCAUAUGCUUUAGAAUCGCUUUUCCAAUUUUGUCUUCCACAUACUUCUUGACUUGUUCUGUCAACUAAGUUCACAUAUUCAAAUUCCUCAAUCUAUUUCCACUCAUUUGCAUAGCUAAAUACUCACAGUAUAGAACAGUUUAAAUAUAACGACAACUUAAGGUCUCAGCAAAAACUUCACAAGUCAUUGCACAUUCCAAAUUCUACAUAUAUAAAUGGUUCAGAGUGACUUUAAACUAUUAGUCUUAGAAACAUAAAAUUCAUUCUAUCAAAACCCGAAGCACAAAACCAAAUUCUAAUAUUCUCUACAAAAACAUAAUAACAAUUUCAUAAGCACAAUUUCAUAUAUCUCAGAUGCACGAUUUCAGAAAGGGAAAAAAAAAAAAAGAUUCGAAGCAACCUUUUUCAACCCAAAAAAAAGAAUUCGAAGAUGUGACAUUUAUAGUAACCUUAUGUUCAGUCUUUAAAAACUAGAUAGUGAGAGAGGAGAUGUGAAAUUGAGAGAGGAUGAAAAAUUUCUAAGGAUCAUGAGUAAUUUAUAACGAGAGCAGAGAAAAAAAAUUUGGUUCCGGAGAACAUUAAUUAAUCUCCAAUCAAGCUCCUUUAUUGCUGCAAUUGGUAUUUGAAUUUGGGAGAAGAAUCAGAAGAUUAAGAGUUUGAGAGAGAAGAAGAGAUUGGAACAAAUGAAUAAGGAAAAAAAAAUAUAUAUUAAUUACACCUAUAUAUAUUAAUUACACACAUAUAUAUAUAUAUAUAACAAAUAAGAAAAAAAAAAAAGAAAAAGUGCCCCUUCAGCCCUGGGCCCUGGUGCCAACGCACUGCCAGCACUGGGCCAGGACCAGGCCUGCAGGGAAAUCUAAUUAUAUGCAAUUUGUGAUAUCAAAAUAACAGGGAAAUAUAUUAGCACUCUACCAAAUACUAUUUUAACCUGAAAAAAAACCAUACUAUUUUAACCUGAAAAAAAACAUGUUUUGAGAAUAUGCAUAUGGAUGAGUCCAAAAGAUAACCACCAUGCCAAAUGACUCAUCUAAACUUACAAUCUCGAUGAAAGUUAAUCACCGUGGCCCAUAAGAAAAGAAAACAUUUAUACAUAUAAUAUAUAUACACGUGAAAUAUAUUCAAAUGACUCAUAUAUUACUAAAAGAAACAAAACAGAAAGAAAAACCUCUCAGAUUUUUUUUAGGGAACAUAUCAACUCCAUUAAUUAUAAAAAGAGUACAAAAGAUAGAUAUAAAAUGAAAAUAUAAGGCAAUAAAAUAUUGGAAAUAAAACCUAGUAGAGCAAUGACUGAAUACAAUACUGCAUCUAAAGAUGCACCGUACUUGAUGUAAAUUGGGCAAUAUAAACAAUUACUAAUGAUAUGACGGAGCAUGUUCCUCAUAUGCUGCUCGGUCAUGCGUACUUGAUGUAAAUCUUUUCAAUAAAGUAAACAGCAAUAUGAUCUGCCAAGCAUAUCCCUCGUAUAUAUAUCGUACGGCAAAAAAGGAACAAUCUUUCACUUAUGUUAUCAACAAGAUGAUUGACCAUUAAAGGGAAAUCUUCUACUAGUGUAACUGGUGAUGAUAACCAUUUGUACACAUCCAUUGUAAGAAAAUAGGCUUAUCACAACUCAAGGGCCUUUCUUAACAAACUUAACUUGACGCAAACCAAAUCAGAAACCACCCUAACCAAGUUUAUACCUACCUAGAUCUUGACUCAGUCGGUUUCGACCCGAAUCCCGACUCAGUAAAGAGAGUAACUAGUAUUUAACCUUUUGACCAAAAAAAAAAAAAACUUGUAUUUAACUCUAUUUUUAUAUAUAUUAACAUUUUGUAAAUAUCUGUAUCGAUUACUUGUGUUAGCUAUGGGGAAAUACUUAUAGAUCUAUGUAUUAUGGUUCCUUCAAAUCCUGAAACAUGAAAAUGAUAAUAAUAAGAUGAACUGAUGAAGAAUACAUGCCACAAUGGUUUGUUUGGAUAAAAAAUAAGAUGGUAUUUAAUGAAAUGAGCAGUCAUAGUUUCUUAACAUGACCUAUCUCAUUUGACAUUCUAAAUUAGGAAUUUUGAAUUUCUUUGUGAAAAGAAAUAAAAGAAAUUAUCCAAAUUCUAAAGUGUACUAGGUCCUCAGUUGUCGAAGGGCCUUUGUCGACUCCUUAUGGGCCUGGAGUGUACUAGGUCCUCAGUCAGCGUUUCUCAUUCAUAUCGGGAGUUAGGGUGGACAGUUGUGGGUUUUCAGAGUCUUUUUUGUUUUGUUUAAAUGUGGUUUAAGGCCUUUUAUCUUUCCUAUAAAGUAUAAACUUUAUUUCAUUUUUUUUCAGUAACAAUCAUGGCGUUUCUUAUUGAUAUUGGUACCGGACUUGUUGGAAAACUUGUGGACUAUACGGUUCUAUCAGUUGGACGUCAAGUUGGUUAUCUGAUCUACUACAAUCGGAACGUCAAAAGCCUAGAGGGUCAACUGAAUGACUUGGUUGCUGUGAGUCAGAGUGUGGAACAAAGGGUUGGUGAAGAAAAGAGAAACAUAAGAGAAGUGGAAGUCCUUGUCAACAAAUGGCUGACAGAUGUCAAAAGGAUCACAGGAGAAGCAAAUGAGAUCUUGAAUGAAGAGCACAAAGAAAAGAUGAAGUGUCUUUGUGAUUAUUUCCUAAUUUAGUGGUUCGUCAUCAACUAAAUCGAAAAUCAACAAAAUUGGUAUCUGAUGUUGCUGAGCUCUAUGGGAAGAAAGACUUUAGCACUUAUGCCCAUGCUAUCAUCCCACAAGAUGUACCCUCCAAAGAUUACGAGGCCUUCAGCUCAAGAACUGUAGUGGUGAACCAGAUAAUGGAUGAAUUGAGAAACAGUCCUAAUGUCAACAUGAUUAGAGUAUAUGGGUUUGGUGGUGUGGGAAAGACCACACUUGUCAAAGAAGUUUCUCGUCAAGCUACAAGAGACAAGAAAUUAUUUGAUGAUGUGGCUAUGAUCCUGGACGUAAAACAAAAUCCAAGCAUCCAAAGGAUUCAACAAGAAAUUGCUGAGAAGUUAGGCCUUGACCUUCCUGAAAAUCAGACUGUUGCUGGAAGAGCACGUCUUCUAUCUAGCAGGAUAAAAGACCAAAAGACUCUGGUAAUUCUCGAUGAUGUGUGGGAUGGAAUUGAUUUGGAGGCUGUGGGACUUUCUGGUGUGACGACUUGUAAAGUAUUGUUGACAU